AGAAUCAACGCUGGCGGCGUGCCUAACACAUGCAAGUCGAACGAGAAAGUGGAGCAAUCCAUGAGUAAAGUGGCGACCGGGUGAGUAACACGUGACUAACCUACCUUCAAGUGGGGGAUAACCUCGGGAAACCGGGGCUAAUACCGCAUAACAUCUUUGGAGUGGAAAUUCUGGAGAUCAAAGGAGCAAUUCGCUGGAAGAGGGGGUCGCGGCUGAUUAGCUAGUUGGCGGGGUAAUGGCCCACCAAGGCUUUGAUCGGUAGCCGGCCUGAGAGGGCGCACGGCCACACUGGAACUGAAACACGGUCCAGACUCCUACGGGAGGCAGCAGUGGGGAAUUUUGCGCAAUGGGGGAAACCCUGACGCAGCAACGCCGCGUGGAGGAUGAAGUCCCUUGGGACGUAAACUCCUUUCGACCGGGAAGAUGAUGACGGUACCGGUGGAAGAAGCCCGGCUAACUUCGCGCCAGCAGCCGC
rnacentral:rRNA from 1 species